rnacentral:lncRNA from 1 species
GGACAAGUGCCUGUAGCCCGAGCUACUCAGAAGGCUGAGGCAUGUGGAUCACUUGAGCCCAGGAGUUCUGGGCUGUAGUGUGCUAUGCUGAUUGGGUGUCUGCACUAAAUUCAGCAUCAAUAUAGUAACCUCCCAGGAGCUGGGGACUACCAGGUUGCCUAAAGAGGGGUGAACCAGCCCAGGUUGGAAAUGGAGCAGGUCAAACUCCUGGGCUGAUCGGUAGUGGGUUCAGGCCUGUGAAGAGCCACUGCACUCUAGCUUGGGCAACACAGUGAGACCCCCAUCUCUAAAAUAAUUUUUUUUUAUGAGGACAGAAAACUUGGAAGUUAUGGGACAACCAUUUUGGCCAUGUGCACACCAAAACAAGGAAAGCUGGUCUUCAGAGAGUCAAAAGUCAAACAAAUGCAGACAGAAGAAAGGAAUGAAAAACAUGGCUGUAAGCCCCAGCUGCACUUGAUUUCCAUCUAAGCACUCUUCCCUCAGGUUCUGUGACAACCCCACUGCAAACUUGGCCUCUGACCUGUGGCAAGAUGACUUUCUUCAGCUGCUCCUGAGUGAAGUGCUCCACGUAGGCCUCGAUGUGAGACAGCAGCACCAUCCGCACAUGCUCUUCAUGAACUUCAAACAACUGGAGAAGCACGGGGAUCACCCGUGACUGGAACAGGGCUGGUGAGACGUGCCUUUUGCCUUCUGCUAUGAUUUUAAGGAACUCCCCAGCCACGUGGAACUUUUGUAAAUUGCCCAGUCUUGGGUAUGUCUUCAUCAGCAGCGUGAACACAGAGUAAUACAGUAAAUUGGUACCAGUAGAGUGGGGAGUUGCUGAAAAGAUACCCGAAAAUGUGGAUGGGACUUUGGAACUGGGUAACUGGCAAAGGCUGGAACAGUUUGGAGGGUUCAGAAGAAGACAGGAAAAUGUGGGAAAGUUUGGAAUUUCCUAGAGACUUGUUGAAUGGCUUUGACAAAAAUGCUGCUAGUGAUAUGAACAAUAAGGUCCAGGCUGAGGUGGUCUCAGAUGGAGAUGAGGAACUUGUUGGGAACUGGGGCAAAGGUGAUUCUUCUUAUGUUUUAGCAGAGACUGGUGGCAUUUUGCCCCUGCCCUAAAGAACUGUGGAACUUUGAACUUAAAAGAGGAUUUAGGGUAUCUGGCGGAAGAAAUUUCUAAGCAGCAGAGCAUUCAAGAGGUGACUUGGGUGCUGUUAAAGGCAUUCAGUUUUAAAAGGAAAACACAGCAUAAAAGCUUGGGAAGUUUGCAGCCUGACAAUGCAAUAGAAAAGAAAAUCGCAGGUGACAUUCAGGCCAGCUGCAGAAGUUUGCAUAAGUAAUGAGGGGCCAAAUGUUAAUCCCCAAGAAAAUGGGGAAAAUGUCUCCAGGGCAUGUCAGAGAUCUUCAUGGCAGCCC